AGAGUUUGCUCCUGGCUCAGGAUGAACGCUGGCGGCAUGCCUAACACAUGCAAGUCGAACGGGGUUUAUAUAACGGAACUCUCCGGAGGGAAGAUAUAUAAACCUAGUGGCGGACGGGUGAGUAACGCGUGGGUAACCUGCCCUGUACCGGGGGACAACAGCCAGAAAUGGCUGCUAAUACCGCAUAAGCCUGCUGUGCCGCAUGGCACAGCAGGGAAAACCACGGUGGUACAGGAUGGGCCCGCGUCUGAUUAGUUAGUUGGCAGGGUAACGGCCUACCAAGACAACGUUCAGUAGCCGGCUUGAGAGAGUGGACGGCCACAUUGGGACUGAGACACGGCCCAGACUCCUGCGGGAGGCAGCAGUGGGGAAUAUUGCACAAUGGGGGGAACCCUGAUGCAGCAAUGCCGCGUGGGUGAAGAAGCACUCCGGUGCGUAAAGCCCUGUCAGCAGGGAAGAAAAUGACAGUACCUGACCAAGAAGCCCCGGCUAACUACGUGCCAGCAGCCGCGGUAAUACGUAGGGGGCAAGCGUUAUCCGGAUUUACUGGGUGUAAAGGGAGCGCAGGCGGCGUGGCAAGUCAGAUGUGAAAACCCGGGGCCCAACCCCGGGAGUGCAUUUGAAACUGCCAUGCUGGAGUGCCGGAGAGGUAAGCGGAAUUCCUAGUGUAGCGGUGAAUGCGUAGAUAUUAGGAGGAACACCAGUGGCGGAGGCGGCUUACUGGACGGUAACUGACGCUGAGGCUCGAAAGCGUGGGGAGCAAACAGAAUUAGAUACCCUGGUAGUCCACGCCGUAAACGAUGAAAUACCAGGUACAGGGGGCACAAAAGUGCUUC
rnacentral:rRNA from 1 species